rnacentral:rRNA from 1 species
UUAGAGGAAGAAAAGUCGUAACAAGGUUUUCCGUAGGGAACCUGCGGAAGGAUCAUUAUCAAAAAAUUUCAUUUAUUUUUUGAAAUAUUUUUCCAAUUUCCCCUGUGUAUUUUACUCCAUGUUUGCUUCCACUAGACUGGUAUUUUAUUUACCCUUCAAUCUGCUAAAUAUUUAGAGGGUUGGGGAAAUGUCGGUGGAUAGCCCAAAACCAAAAGAACGUUUGUUUAUAUAUAUAUAGUCUGAUACAUAAAAAAUAUAACAAAAUAUAAAAAAACUUUCAACAACGGAUCUCUAGGCUCUUGCAUCGAUGAAGAACGCAGUGAAAUGUGAUAAGUAAUGUGAAUUGCAGAAUCUCGUGAAUCAUCGAAUCUUUGAACGCACAUUGCGCCCAAUGGUAUUCCAUUGGGCAUACCUGUUUGAGUGUCAGAAUCCUUCCAAUUAUCAAACUUUUAUAUAUAAAGAUGUUUGGACUUUAAUUGAGAAGAGUAGUAUUACUAUAAUAUUACUUUCUUAAAAACUAGGAAUAUUUUGUAUUGGUUUUCUUCCAACUCAUUUUGUAUUUAAUAUAACAAACGAGGAUGAAUAAAACAAACAACAAUAAUACCUUUGGAUGACCUCAAAUCAGGUAGGGAUACCCGCUGAACUUAAGCAUAUCAAUAAGC